rnacentral:rRNA from 1 species
AACAGGGAUUGCCCUAGUAACGGCGAGUGAAGCGGCAACAGCUCAAAUUUGAAAUCUGGCUCUUUCAGAGUCCGAGUUGUAAUUUGCAGAGGGCGCUUUGGCUUUGGCAGCGGUCCAAGUUCCUUGGAACAGGACGUCACAGAGGGUGAGAAUCCCGUACGUGGUCGCUAGCUAUUGCCGUGUAAAGCCCCUUCGACGAGUCGAGUUGUUUGGGAAUGCAGCUCUAAAUGGGAGGUAAAUUUCUUCUAAAGCUAAAUAUUGGCCAGAGACCGAUAGCGCACAAGUAGAGUGAUCGAAAGAUGAAAAGCACUUUGGAAAGAGAGUCAAACAGCACGUGAAAUUGUUGAAAGGGAAGCGCUUGCAGCCAGACUUGCUUGCAGUUGCUCAUCCGGGCUUUUGCCCGGUGCACUCUUCUGCAGGCAGGCCAGCAUCAGUUUGGGCGGUGGGAUAAAGGUCUCUGUCAUGUACCUCUCUUCGGGGAGGCCUUAUAGGGGAGGCGACAUACCACCAGCCUAGACUGAGGUCCGCGCAUCUGCUAGGAUGCUGGCGUAAUGGCUGUAAGCGGCCCGUCUUGAAACACGGACCAAGGAGUCUAACAUCUAUGCGAGUGUUUGGGUGUCAAGCCCGAGCGCGUAAUGAAAGUGAACGGAGGUGGGAACCCGCAAGGGUGCACCAUCGACCGAUCCUGAAGUUUACGGAAGGAUUUGAGUAAGAGCAUGGCUGUUGGGACCCGAAAGAUGGUGAACUAUGCUUGAAUAGGGUGAAGCCAGAGGAAACUCUGGUGGAGGCUCGCAGCGGUUCUGACGUGCAAAUCGAUCGUCAAAUUUGGGCAUAGGGGCGAAAGACUAAUC